rnacentral:rRNA from 1 species
GCGUGCCUAAUACAUGCAAGUCGAGCGAACAGAUAAGGAGCUUGCUCCUUUGACGUUAGCGGCGGACGGGUGAGUAACACGUGGAUAACCUACCUAUAAGACUGGGAUAACUUCGGGAAACCGGAGCUAAUACCGGAUAACAUAUUGAACCGCAUGGUUCAAUAGUGAAAGGCGGCUUUGCUGUCACUUAUAGAUGGAUCCGCGCCGUAUUAGCUAGUUGGUAAGGUAACGGCUUACCAAGGCAACGAUACGUAGCCGACCUGAGAGGGUGAUCGGCCACACUGGAACUGAGACACGGUCCAGACUCCUACGGGAGGCAGCAGUAGGGAAUCUUCCGCAAUGGGCGAAAGCCUGACGGAGCAACGCCGCGUGAGUGAUGAAGGUCUUCGGAUCGUAAAACUCUGUUAUCAGGGAAGAACAAAUGUGUAAGUAACUGUGCACAUCUUGACGGUACCUGAUCAGAAAGCCACGGCUAACUACGUGCCAGCAGCCGCGGUAAUACGUAGGUGGCAAGCGUUAUCCGGAAUUAUUGGGCGUAAAGCGCGCGUUAGGCGGUUUUUAAGUCUGAUGUGAAAGCCC